ensembl:lncRNA
GGACUUCCCAGCUCCCAUGACGUCAGCCUGCCGUCCCUGCCGGCUUCCGGACCCUGACACGGUCCAACAAGCCCUUCUUCACCCGGGCUGAGUCGCUUCUUGUUUCUUGCCACCGAACCGUCCUUGACUAAGACACCUUACAACACAGCUGCUGGCUCGCCCCCGCCACCCACUCCCUCGUUCUUUUCUUCUCCCGGAAUCUGUUUUCCCGUUUCUAUUGAGACAGCCACGCUGCACACACAGGGCCUGAAUUUUCACUUGAACAAACGCUGCCUGGCCUGGGCCCAAAGAGGACAAGCAGCAACCCCGUGACUUGGCCACACAACAGGUCACACCCUACGGCAUGCGGGAUCUUAGUUUCCUGACCAAGGAUCAAACCCCUGUCCCCUGCAGCAGAAGCAGAGUCUUAACCACUGGACCAUCAAUGAUUCUAGCUGUGUUCUCCCAGAGGAAAUGAUUCGAUUGAAAGGUUGGGAGAGCAAGUCUGCCUUCAUCAACGAAGCCUUGGAAUCGUGAAUGAGUUUUACCUUCAAGAACUUUUUGUUUGCACAC